GGAGAGCGGGCAGGACGGUAAUGCGAUAGUCUUGAAAACUAUUGAGCGUAAGCUCUAACAGGUUCGACCCCUGUGCUCUCCG
rnacentral:tRNA from 1 species